rnacentral:rRNA from 1 species
CCUACGGGAGGCUGCAGUCGAGAAUCAUUCACAAUGGGGGAAACCCUGAUGGUGCGACGCCGCGUGGGGGAAUGAAGGUCUUCGGAUUGUAAACCCCUGUCAUGUGGGAGCAAAUUAAAAAGAUAGUACCACAAGAGGAAGAGACGGCUAACUCUGUACCAGCAGCCGCGGUAAUACAGAGGUCUCACGCGUUGUUCGGAACCACUGGGCGUAAGGCGUGGGUCGGCUGUUUCGUAAGUCGUGUGUGAAAGGCGCGGGCUCAACCCGCGGACGGCACAUGAUACUGCGAGACUCGAGUAAUGGAGGGGGAACCGGAAUUCUCGGUGUAGCAGUGAAAUGCGUAGAUAUCGAGAGGAACACUCGUGGCGAAGGUGGGUUCCUGGACAUUAACGGACGCUGAGGCACGAAGGCCAGGGGAGCGAAAGGGAUUAGAUACCCCAGUAGUC